rnacentral:lncRNA from 1 species
UACAUCAACAAAGCAAGGAGGUGAGUUUGAUUUCUGCACCCUGCUUUUUAUCAUUAAUUUUUUAAAUAACCCUAGAAUUUUUACAAAAAACAGAGCUCAGCAUAACACAAUCGAAUUAGAGUCUUGUGGUUGGGUUUCUUGCUUUGUUGUUUGCUUUGAGGGCGCCGAUCGGGAACAGAGAGUCUUGGCUGAGUUUUAGCUGACUUGUGGCUCAGUUUCUUGUGUCGUUGUCUGCAUUGAGAGUACUGGCCGCUGUCGGCGUCGGCAUCGGCUUUAGCUGAGUUGUGGCUCAGUUUCUUGUGUCGUUAUCUGCAUUGAGAGUACUGCCCAGCGUCGGCAUCGGCAUCAGCAGCAGCUUUCUUAGCUGCUCAUAGUCGGGCCGAGGUGAGAAGAGUGGGUCGACGAUGGGGAACGACAGUGAGGUCUACGAGAGAACAAGCUGUGUUUUCUGGUUAUUCAUUGGAAAUUAAGAAAAAAGGGGAGAAGAAGAAGAAGAGGGAUUUGGGGUUGAGAUUUACUCUUUAUUGCAAAUGUGAAGUAAAGAGAGAGAUGAAGGUGUGACAGAGAGUAGCGAGAGAGAGAGAAAGAGUUACAGGGUAGAGAGAGAAAAUUGUGGGUGCAAGUGUGCAAAAGAGAGAACGCAUAUGGAGUAUAUUAAUUGUGUGGAUUUUGACUAGGGCUCUAUUUUUAAUUGAAAAUAAUAAUGUAUGGUUGGGC